rnacentral:rRNA from 1 species
UCGGGAAUUUUGGGCAAUGGGCGAAAGCCUGACCCAGCAACGCCGCGUGAGGGAUGAAGUAUUUCGGUAUGUAAACCUCGAAAGAAUGGGAAGAAUAAAUGACGGUACCAUUUAUAAGCUCCGGCUAACUACGUGCCAGCAGCCGCGGUAAUACGUAGGGAGCAAGCGUUGUUCGGAUUUACUGGGCGUAAAGGGCGCGUAGGCGGCGCGGUAAGUCACUUGUGAAAUCUCUGAGCUUAACUCAGAACGGCCAAGUGAUACUGCUGUGCUAGAGUGCGGAAGAGGCAACCGGAAUUCUUGGUGUAGCGGUGAAAUGCGUAGAUAUCAAGAGGAACACCGGAGGCGAAGGCGGGUUGCUGGGCCGACACUGACGCUGAUGCGCGAAAGCCAGGGGAACAAACG